UGCGUGGUGCAGUGGUAGAGUUUCUGACUCCAGAACAGUUGGUCGCGGAUUCAAUCACCGCCGUGACAA